rnacentral:rRNA from 1 species
AAUGAACGCUGGCGGCAGGCCUAACACAUGCAAGUCGAGCGAAGUCUUCGGACUUAGCGGCGGACGGGUGAGUAACGCGUGGGAACAUGCCCUUUGGUGCGGAAUAGCCCCGGGAAACUGGGAGUAAUACCGCAUGUGCCCUUCGGGGGAAAGAUUUAUCGCCAAAGGAUUGGCCCGCGUUGGAUUAGGUAGUUGGUGGGGUAAUGGCCUACCAAGCCGACGAUCCAUAGCUGGUUUGAGAGGAUGAUCAGCCACACUGGGACUGAGACACGGCCCAGACUCCUACGGGAGGCAGCAGUGGGGAAUCUUAGACAAUGGGCGCAAGCUGGAUCUAGCCAUGCCGCGUGAUCGAUGAAGGCCUUAGGGUUGUAAAGAUCUUUCAGUGGGGAAGGUAAUGACGGUACCCACAGAAGAAGCCCCGGCUAACUCCGUGC